CUUGCAUGAAUGUGGGACAAAUUCUCACCUCCCUGAUGCUCCAGAAGCCCCUUGGUUUCUUGCCACCUCCCUCGUGCCCUGCUUGGACCAUGGCAAGGUAGGCUGCAAGCUGCGCUGUGGGGUCACUACCAUCCAGAACCAAGGUGACGGCUGGUAUCACAGCUUUCAGGCCCAAGUUGAGAAGCCUGACUGCUCAGUUACUAGCUCUGGCAUGAUGGCUGCCAG
rnacentral:lncRNA from 1 species